GAAGAAUAGUUGAAUCUUACAGCCGUUCCAGUGCAAGUUACCAGCAGCAUUGACGUUUAUAGUUUCAGAAGGACCCUGAACCUGCUUUGUCUCAGAGGUAAACAACAGGAAAUCCACCCAGUGCAGGAGUGGCUUGCAGGCUGCAGCUUCUUCUGACACUUGUUGCUGUAUUUCUGACACCAAAGGUCCCCGAAGUCAACUGAGCAGUGGCUGACACAAGUGAAAAAGAACUGUUUACUGCUGAAGUAGAUGACUCAUGCAGUCUGGAAUGGAAAAGAGAACAUACAUUUCUGCAUCUGUGUGACUGA